UUUAACUCAUACAAAAUUCGCCUCACCGGAGGAUGCGCGGUCCCGGCCGCUGACGUCCCCACGAUGGCCACUGGGUGGAGCCUGAGUCCUCUGAUUGCGUGGAAGGGCCCUGGGAAAAAUCGGGCCAAAUUUUACAGAAAUAUUGGUGGAAAAUGUGACCCAAGAAAUUCAGCCCAUCCCGCUUUCGCCCGCGUGUGUGACAACCUGGGGGACAGCAACUGUCGGGCAAGACUCGGAAGCCCCACCGAGUGGACCAUGUGGGCUUUUACCAGGAGUCUUUCAGUGGCCCUAACCCUCGUUCUGAGACACCUGCCGUGCCUAGGCCACCCAUCGCUCGCUCUGCAGCCUGAGUCGCAGUUAACUAAACCGGAUUCUUCCAAGAAAGGAGUUCCGGCCCGGGGUUCCAGGCCUGUUUGCUAUGGAAGAGCAGGCUCCUGGAGCAUCGCCAAGGCCCGUUGCCUGGAUGGAGGCAGUUUCCACGCGGCACAUUUGGGUGGAAACGCCUAAAGGGAGAAUCUGCAGAAUCUGGGGGCACCUGACACCGGAUGCUUCUCGGGCCCUCCGCAGGUGCGGCCAGGCUUGGGCCCUGACUGUCUCCCAGGUGACCUCCAUCUCUGCCCCACCAGCCCGGCUCUGCAAGGUGCACAAACUCCAGCUGUGGGUGAAUGGAUCCCUGCCCCUGUCCACACCUGCUGCUCUGGGCCAGCGGCCUUUUCCACCAGAGGGGACGGGGUCUUGCUCCAAGGACGGCCCUCCCAGUGCAGUCCCCAGUCCGUUGGGCCAGAGGCCUCAAGGCAGUGCUGGUUCCUGGUCCAGGUCCACUUUCUCCCACUCACCAGUCUCCAGAACCAGUCACCCUGGGCCCAC
rnacentral:lncRNA from 1 species